GAUGAACGCUGGCGGCGUGCCUAAUACAUGCAAGUCGAGCGAACAGACGAGGCGCUUGCUCCUCUUACGUUAGCGGCGGACGGGUGAGUAAUACGUGGAUAACCUACCUAUAAGACUGGGAUAACUUCGGGAAACCGGAGCUAAUAUCGGAUCAUAUAUUGAACCGCAUGGUUCAAUAGUGAAAGACGGUUUUGCUGUCACUUAUAGAUGGAUCCUCGCCGCAUUAGCUAGUUGGUAGGGUAACGGCUUACCAAGGCAACGAUGCGUAGCCGACCUGAGAGGAUGAUCGGCCACACUGGAACUGAGACACGGUCCAGACUCCUACGGGAGGCAGCAGUAGGGAAUAUUCGGCAAUGGGCGAAAGCCUGACGGAGCAACGCCGCGUGAGUGAUGAAGGUCUUCGGAUCGUAAAACUCUGUAAGUAGGGAGGAACAAAUGUGAAAGAAAAUAUGCACGUCUUGACGGUACCAAAUCAAAAAGCAACGGCUAACUACGUG
rnacentral:rRNA from 1 species